UACGUAGGGUGCGAGCGUUGUCCGGAAUUAUUGGGCGUAAAGAGCUUGUAGGCGGUUUGUCGCGUCUGCCGUGAAAAUCCGAGGCUCAACCUCGGACUUGCGGUGGGUACGGGCAGACUAGAGUGUGGUAGGGGAGACUGGAAUUCCUGGUGUAGCGGUGAAAUGCGCAGAUAUCAGGAGGAACACCGAUGGCGAAGGCAGGUCUCUGGGCAGUAACUGACGCUGAGGAGCGAAAGCGUGGGGAGCGAACAGG
rnacentral:rRNA from 1 species